AAUAUUCAAGCUCAACAGACCGGAAUUAGGCUUUUCUUUCUUUUAAUUUGAGAGAUUCGUUUCUGUGUCGAUUAUCCCCGCUGAACUGA
rnacentral:snoRNA from 1 species